CUCACCUGUCUGUCUCACCUGUACGUCUCACCUGUUUGCUCCUGCAGGCAGAAAUGAGGGCUGCAGUGUUCCUGGCCAUGGAGGAGCAGGACAAACUGGAGAAUAAAACUCCACUGAUUAAUGAAAACCUGAAGAAAUGUCUCAACACUAAAGACGGACGCCUGGUGGCCGGUCUGAUCAUUGACUUCCUGCAGGUGUUUAACCUGGACUUCAGCCUGGCCGUGUUCCAGCCCGAGAUCAACA